rnacentral:rRNA from 1 species
GGAUAACACCUGGAAACAGAUGCUAAUACCGGAUAACAACACUAGACGCAUGUCUAGAGUUUAAAGAUGGUUCUGCUAUCACUCUUGGAUGGACCUGCGGUGCAUUAGCUAGUUGGUAAGGCAACGGCUUACCAAGGCAAUGAUGCAUAGCCGAGUUGAGAGACUGAUCGGCCACAUUGGGACUGAGACACGGGUCCAAACUCCUACGGGAGGCAGCAGGU